rnacentral:rRNA from 1 species
CCUACGGGGUGCAGCAGUGGGGAAUAUUGCACAAUGGGGGGAACCCUGAUGCAGCGACGCCGCGUGGGUGAAGGAGUAUUUCGGUAUGUAAAGCCCUAUCAGCAGGGAAGAACAAUGACGGUACCUGACUAAGAAGCACCGGCUAAAUACGUGCCAGCAGCCGCGGUAAUACGUAUGGUGCAAGCGUUAUCCGGAUGUACUGGGGGUAAAGGGAGCGCAGGCGGCGCGUUAAGCCUGGUGUGAAAGCCCGCGGCCCAACGGCGGUACUGCAUUGGAAACUGGCGCGCGGGAGUGCCGGAGGGGUGAGCGGAAUUCCUAGUGUAGCGGUGAAAUGAGUAGAUAUGAGGAGGAACACCAGUGGCGAAGGCGGCCAACUGGACGGUGACUGACGCUGAGGCUCGAAAGCGUGGGGAGCAAACAGGAUUAGAUACCCGAGUAGUC